AUGGUGGAGUUCAGGAUCCUGCGAGGAGAAGGCAGGGCAAUAAAUAGGAUCGCAACCCUGGACUUCAGGAGAGCAAACUUUGGCCUCUUCAGGGACCUACUUGGAGGAAUCCCAUGGGUUAGGGCCCUAGAAGGAAGGGGCGUUCAAGAGAGCUGGUUAAUAUUCAAGCAUCACUUCCUCCAAGCUCAAGAUCGGUGCAUCCCUAUGAGUAAGAAGUCAAGCAAAGGAGGUAGGAGACCUGCAUGGAUGAGCAAGGAGCUCCUGGCAAAACUCAAACAGAAGUAUACAGAAUGUGGAAAGGGGGACAGGCCACUUGGGAGGAAUAUAGGAACAUUGUCAGAGUAUGCAACGAGGAAGGCUAAGGCCCGUUUGGAAUUAAAUCUGGCGAGAGAUGUCAAGGACAGCAAGAAGGGCUUCUUCAAAUACAUCAGUAGCAAGAGGAAGACUAGGGAAAAUGUGGGCCCUUUGCUGAAUGGGGUGGGUGCCCUGGUGACAAAGGAUGCAGAGAAGGCAGAGUUACUGAAUGCUGCCUUUGCUUCAGUCUUUCCUGCUCAGGCCAGCCCUCAGGAACCCCAGACCCUGGAGGCAAGAGAGAAAGUCUGGAGGAAGGAAGACUUUCCCUUGGUUGAGGAGGAUCGGGUUAGAGAUCAUUUAAGCAAACYUGACACCCACAAAUCCAUGGGCCCCUAUGGGAUGCACCCACGAGUGCUGAGGGAGCUGGCGGACAUUAUUGCUAAGCCACUCUCCAUCAUCUUUGAAAGGUCAUGGAGGACAGGAGAGGUGCCUGAGGACUGGAAGAAAGCCAAUGUCACCCCAGUCUUCAAAAAGGGCAAGAAGGAGGAGCCAGGGAACUACAGGCCAGUCAGCCUMAUCUCCAUCCCUGAAAAGGUGAUGGAGCAGCUCAUCCUGGAGGCCAUCUCCAAGCAUGUGGAGGAAAAGAAGGUGAUCAGGAGUAGUCAGCAUGGAUUCACCAAGGCAAAAUCAUGCCUACACCAAUCUGAUAGCCUUCUAUGA
rnacentral:lncRNA from 1 species